CCUACGGGUGGCAGCAGUCGAGAAUCAUUCACAUUGGGGGAAACCCUGAUGGUGCGACGCCGCGUGGGGGAAUGAAGGUCUUCGGAUUGUAAACCCCUGUCAUGUGGGAGCAAAUUAAAAAGAUAGUACCACAAGAGGAAGAGACGGCUAACUCUGUGCCAGCAGCCGCGGUAAUACAGAGGUCUCAAGCGUUGUUCGGAAUCACUGGGCGUAAGGCGUGCGGAGGCUGUUUCGUAAGUCGUGUGUGAAAGGCGCGGGCUCAACCCGCGGACGGCACAUGAUACUGCGAGACUAGAGUAAUGGAGGGGGAACCGGAAUUCUCGGUGUAGCAGUGAAAUGCGUAGAUAUCGAGAGGAACACUCGUGGCGAAGGCGGGUUCCUGGACAUUAACUGACGCUGAGGCACGAAGGCCAGGGGAGCGAAAGGGAUUAGAUACCCCUGUAGUC
rnacentral:rRNA from 1 species